UGCGAUGAUGAUGAGAUAAAUAAUCUCGUUAAUCUGAUGAUUAGCAUGAGGACAAAUCCUCUAUUCCAUUCUUAAAAGCCUCUGAGC